GACGAACGCUGGCGGCGUGCUUAACACAUGCAAGUCGAACGAUGAUGCUGGAGCUUGCUCCAGUUGAUUAGUGGCGAACGGGUGAGUAACACGUGAGCAAUCUGCCCUUGACUCUGGGAUAACUGCGGGAAACUGUGGCUAAUACCGGAUACUUUCACCGGAAGGCAUCUUUUGGUGAUGAAAGAAUUUCGGUCAGGGAUGAGCUCGCGGCCUAUCAGCUUGUUGGUGAGGUAACGGCUCACCAAGGCGACGACGGGUAACCGGCCUGAGAGGGUGACCGGUCACACCGGGACUGAGACACGGCCCAGACUCCUACGGGAGGCAGCAGUGGGGAAUAUUGCACAAUGGGCGCAAGCCUGAUGCAGCAACGCCGCGUGAGGGAUGAAGGCCUUCGGGUUGUAAACCUCUUUUAGCAGGGAAGAAGCGAAAGUGACGGUACCUGCAGAAAAAGCACCGGCUAACUACGUGCCAGCCGCCGCCGUAA
rnacentral:rRNA from 1 species